UAAACUCCGCCUACGUGUGCAUGUGUCUGU
rnacentral:piRNA from 1 species